rnacentral:rRNA from 1 species
GGGUUGUGAGGUUAAGCGACUAAGCGUACACGGUGGAUGCCCUGGCAGUCAGAGGCGAUGAAGGACGUGCUAAUCUGCGAAAAGCGCCGGCGAGGUGAUAUGAACCCUUGACCCGGCGAUGUCCGAAUGGGGAAACCCAGUGCAAUCCGUUGCACUAUCGUUAACUGAAUACAUAGGUUAACGAGGCGAACCGGGGGAACUGAAACAUCUAAGUACCCCGAGGAAAAGAAAUCAACCGAGAUUCCCCCAGUAGCGGCGAGCGAACGGGGAGCAGCCCGGAGUCUGAAUCAGCUUGUGUGUUAGUGGAACGGUCUGGAAAGUCCGACGGUACAGGGUGAUAGUCCCGUACACGAAAGCACACAUGCUGUGAACUCGAAGAGUAGGGCGGGACACGUGGUAUCCUGUCUGAAUAUGGGGGGACCAUCCUCCAAGGCUAAAUACUCCUGACUGACCGAUAGUGAACCAGUACCGUGAGGGAAAGGCGAAAAG